UUAAGUUCAGCGGGUAUCCCUACCUGAUCCGAGGUCAAACUGUGAUGUGGGCUUGAUGGACGCCGAUCCGCCGCAGCUUCGAGAAGCGCAAAUGUGCUGCGCGAGAAGCUGGCAAGACCGCUGCCAAUACCUUUGGGGCGAGUCCACGCACGAAGCGGGACAGACGCCCAACACCAAGCAGAGCUUGAGGGUACAAAUGA
rnacentral:misc_RNA from 1 species